CCUCUGCUAAAGAGGAGGAAGGGAAUGGGCAACGGUAGGUCAGCAUGCCCCGAACUUAUCUGGGCUACACGCGGGCUACAAUGGGUGGGACAAUGGGUAUCGACACCGAAAGGUGAAGGCAAUCUCCUAAACCCAUCCGUAGUUCGGAUUGUGGGCUGCAACUCGCCCACAUGAAGCUGGAAUCUGUAGUAAUCGUGUCUCAAAAUGGCACGGUGAAUAUGUCCCUGCUCCCUU
rnacentral:rRNA from 1 species